ensembl:lncRNA
UCAUGUUUGGCUCCUCCCCUAAAUGAAGCGUGCCUCGAUACGCGCUUCAUGGAAACGCCCUCUCCACUACUUGACACACGCUUCGAAGCCUCGGCAUAUCUCCUGCUGUGAGGGAACCGACGACUGAACCGGGCCAAGGAGAGACCGAACCUGCAACAGCUUCAUGAAGUCUCCUGGAUGGUUUUCCAAUAGCCUUGAAGAACUUCCCAGAGGUGCUGAGCAGCUGAUGGAGUUUCUCCUCAGUGGAGACGUUGAGGUGGAUGCCAAGAACUGGACUUUCUGAGAGCUGUAGCCUGUAUCGUAGAUGGGUUGCUUUGAAAGUUUUGGGACAGGACCUCCAUGGAGAUGCCAGGAUGCUCAGCGGAGUAACCAUCCCUCUCCAGCCUCCAAGAGCAUCACUAUACUCACUUGAACCAUAUACACUCGGAGGCUAUGCUGGAGUACCGGCUCCGUGUAACAGGAGGAGAUGACUGGGCCAUGUGGACCCUCGGUGCAGCGCUAAAAACAGCCUGACAGCUGUGUGUGAAGAGUGAGUAAAUGAAACUGAAACAGCACCUGACCAUGAGGUGUUUGAUGGGAAGUUGAUCCGUUUCAUCUGUGUGUGUUCAGUGGACAAACAAGGCUAGAUUCUCCCAGUAAAGAAGAGCUACAUCUUCUGGGAAUUUCAGUGAGGUCUUAUUUUUCUACUCCACUGACCUGCUACUCAUCCUAUAAAGUCUGUAUUUUGGAUCCAUUGAGUCUUGUUCAGAGUUUGGAAGUCAUUUUGCGGUGAGGAAUAGCUCUGAUGCCUCUUGAAUUCACAAUUUCUGCUGUCAAAUUUGUUAUGGGAAGAAUGUUGCACAACUCGUCAGAUUGCAGGCAACCUUUUAGAGAAGCCUCUACCAGCACUGUUGUUUUCUCUGCAGUUGUCUUUCUGGAGACAUAUGGAUCCUGCAGCUGUUUGAUGCUGCAGGUAUUCGAUGAACUCAAAACAGCUGGAAGCAACAGUCUAAACGUAAGCACAUGUUAAUGUUUUGUCAAAAAAAAGUGAAUUAUUUCUAUUAUUGUUGAAAAAGAUGUCAUUAAUCUGAGCUGUUAGUUUUUCUUCAUCACAGUAAUGUUUCAUUGUUAUGGACAUCUUAUUUUUUAGGCUA